UACGAAGGGGGCUAGCGUUGCUCGGAAUUACUGGGCGUAAAGGGCGCGCAGGCGGCCCUCCAAGUCAGGCGUGAAAGCCCCGGGCUCAACCCGGGAACAGCGCUUGAGACUGGGGGGCUUGAGUUCGGGAGAGGAGAGUGGAAUUCCCAGUGUAGAGGUGAAAUGCGCAGAUAUCAGGAGGAACACCGAUGGCGAAGGCAGCUCGCUGGGACGGUACUGACGCUGAGGCGCGAAAGCGUGGGGAGCAAACGGG
rnacentral:rRNA from 1 species